rnacentral:rRNA from 1 species
AUUGAACGCUGGCGGCAGGCCUAACACAUGCAAGUCGAACGAGUGGCGGACGGGUGAGUAAUGCCUGGGAAACUGCCUGAUGGAGGGGGAUAACUACUGGAAACGGUAGCUAAUACCGCAUUCCAUCAGAUGUGCCCAGCUGGGAUUAGCUUGUUGGUGGGGUAACGGCUCACCAAGGCGACGAUCCCUGGCGGGUCCGAGAGGAUGACCGGCCACACUGGAACUGAGACACGGUCCAGACUCCUACGGGGGGCAGCAGUGGGGAAUAUUGCACAAUGGGCGAAAGCCGGAUGCAGCCAUGCCGCGUGUAUGAAGAGGGCCUUCGGUUUGUAAAGUACGUUCAGCGGGGAGGCGUUACCCGCAGAAAAAGCACCGGCUAACUCCGUGCCAGCCGCCGCGGUAAUAC